UACGAAGGGGGCUAGCGUUGCUCGGAAUUACUGGGCGUAAAGGGAGCGUAGGCGGAUAGUUCAGUCGGAGGUGAAAGCCCAGGGCUCAACCUUGGAACUGCCUUUGAUACUGGCUAUCUUGAGUUUGGGAGAGGUGUGUGGAACUCCGAGUGUAGAGGUGAAAUUCGUAGAUAUUCGGAAGAACACCAGUGGCGAAGGCGACACACUGGCCCAAUACUGACGCUGAGGCUCGAAAGCGUGGGGAGCAAACAGG
rnacentral:rRNA from 1 species